GAAUGAUCCAUUCAAUCCAAA
rnacentral:sRNA from 1 species